CUGGAAGAAUACACUUAAGGUAGAAAUUGCAGUCUCAUUUCAACUGUAGACCUACUACAUCAAAUUGAACAAAUCCACUUUAAUCUAUACUUUCCCUCUCCUGUGAAUCCUGAUCCACAGCUGCCUACAAACCAAUUGCCAAGUCUGGGAUUGAAUGAUUAAUUGAAAUAGCCACAAGUAAAGGUCACAUGCGGAACAGCCAAAUAGAAAGCAGAUCAUCCAGACCAACCUACUGAAAUGAAAUCAUCAUCUACAUUUCAAAACUCACCAAGCACUCCUUUUCCCUCUGCAUUUAAAGCUAUUUGGCUUUAGUGAGGAGUGGGUUCCUUUACAAAAGAAUGAAGAAUGUCUUUCUACAGCACCCUGUCACUUAAACAUUUCACUGGCAACAUUGAGCAGCAGCCCAAACUGUCAAGAUGUUACAUGUUACAUUAAAUGAAACAGCGAAAGGAAAAUAAUAGUUCAUGAAAAACUUGUGAAAGAAACUGAAAAACAGCAUGGGUCUUCAAAAAUUAUAAUGGAUUAUAACCAUGAAUGCAUGAAUGGGGCAAAUAUCUACCUCAAUACUAGGAUCUUUGAAAAUAUAUACAUUCCAGAAGAGAGAAGACCCCCGUCAGCCGAGGGUGACUCUGGUGAAGGGGUCAGCAGUGAGAUGUUAGCAGCCAACACUUAUAGUGGCUGAUGGAUGGACGCAACCGCCUGGUGAAGGGAAUCUGUGUGGAGCAUCAGAGUCUGCUGCAGUUGG